AUCAGUUCUCGGCCUUUUGGCUAAGAUCAAGUGUAGUAUCUAUAAGAAAUAAUAAAGGAAAUUUGAAUGGAAAAAAACAGAACUGGUAAUUCUGCUUCAUACACUGUAUUUCAUCUUGAUAAUAACUAUAU
rnacentral:snRNA from 1 species